rnacentral:rRNA from 1 species
GGUGCAAGCGUUGUCCGGAAUUAUUGGGCGUAAAGAGCUCGUAGGCGGUUUGUUGCGUCGGCUGUGAAAUCCCGAGGCUCAACCUCGGGUCUGCAGUCGAUACGAGCAAACUAGAGUGUUGCAGGGGAGACUGGAAUUCCUGGUGUAGCGGUGAAAUGCGCAGAUAUCAGGAGGAACACCGGUGGCGAAGGCGGUUCUCUGGGCAUUACCUGACGCUGAGGAGCGAAAGUGUGGGGAGCGAACAGG